rnacentral:lncRNA from 1 species
CAGACCCUUUGCCAGUCCCUACCCUCUCCACAGACCCCAGUUAUGAUGUAUACUAUGAAGGGGAGCGUGUAGCUUUGACAUGCUUGGCUCCAACAAAGAAGACACUAGGUGGCUUUUGUUUCUUCAACCAAAGUGGGGACCAAAUCUACUGGAGAGCACCCUAUCACCACACAACUGCCUGGUUCCAACUCACAGCUACAAAAGCAUCCAAUGGAGAAUACACUUGCAUGUACUGGGUGGAGGAUUCCGGACAAAAAAUCUCUUCCAAUAGGAGCCUUCCUCUUUCAGUUAAGGUGCAGGAUGCUCCCAUGGCUCCAACUUUGUCCCUAGAACCUCAGCAAGAGGUCUACAUAUCCGGGGACUAUGUCAAGCUACUCUGCUCUGUCCCGUCAUCUGCAGACUAUGUUAGAGAAAUCCAGUACUAUGGGGACUUUGGACUUGCAAUCUCUAUCCCAGUAUCAGACAUUAAAAACUACAGCUACAACCUCAGUAUCACUGGAAAGGAGGUCUCUGGGUUUUACAGUUGUGCCUAUUUUGUAUUUUGGUCUACACGUCCUGUUCGCUCAGAGAGGAGUCACUGGGUCCAUGUCUAUGUGAAAAGCCAGAAAAUCAGCUGGAUCCGAGAGAUUGCUGUGGGUGGCUCAUUCUUUACCAUCAAUGGCCUCAUCUUUUUCUUCUCCCACUGCCUGAUGAAGAGAAGAGAUCUGGAGGAGGGAUUCGGGAUGGAAUAACAAUAUGAAGCAGAAGAAACAUCCCCAAAGGCUUUUUGCCCUAUUUAGUAAAGGCAAUCCAUUCCCUAGGACCUUGCCUAAUUCCCUCUUGCCUGUUUCAGUGUCCCCAAAAGACAACAGUGGUGAAUGCUGAACUGAAAUUACUUGGCCUGCUUCUCUCCUCUGUGCCUUCAAACGUCUCACAUCUCUCUGAUUAAAUCUGGGUGUUGUAUCUUUGUGGUGUGGGUUUCAUCAAAAGAUAUCCUCCAUCCUGGAGAAUGUGUUCGUGUGUGUUUGUGCAUGUGUGUGUGCAUCUGCUCCACCACACAUGUAACUCCACCAUGUUAUCAUUAAAUCCGGUUCUUACUUUCAUCUGAAAUUCAGACUCCUUUGUGGUACACCACUGCACCUU